rnacentral:misc_RNA from 1 species
CCCUCCCCUAAAUCACUCCAAAAAAAACAAUCCCCAAUUCUACACAAGUGUUUCUACACUAACAAAGCAACAGCUCCUUAACGAAUUCCCAACUUUACACGAGCUCGUCUCUCGAGGUUAAAUGUUAUUACUUGGUAAGAUUCCGGACCUCGCCAAGUGUUUUGAAAACCCGCAACGCUCGCAAAGGUGGAUAGUGAGAAUAAUAAGUGAAGAGACAGACUUGUCCAAAACGCCCACCACGAAGGUGCAUAGUGAGAAGAGUAAGUCAAGAGAUAGACUUGUCCAAAAAGAAACGGAAGAGAAAGCGUGGGGAGACGCUCACGAAGGUGCAUAGUGAGAAGAGUAAGUCAAGAGACAGACUUGUUCGAAAAGAAACAGAAGAGAAUGCUUGGGGUUACACUCACGAAGGUGCAUAGUGAGAAGAGUAAGUCAAGAGACAGACUUGUUCGAAAAGAAACAAAAGAGAAUGCUUGGGGAGAUAGAAGUGUGAGAUAGUUCUCAAGCUAAGAAAGUUGUAAAAGCUAAGAACUAGCAAGUAAUCGUCCAGGAUUCCUCCACCAGGACUUGAAAUCGUCGAGGGAAAAAAAUCGGUUCCGAGGAAUCGUCGAUCCGGACUUGGAAUCGUCGAGAAAAGUUUACCGGGUCCGAGGAUUUGUCGACCAGGAGUGGAAAUCGUCGAGAAAAAUCUAUCGGGUCCGAGGAAUCGUCGACCAGGACGAGGAAUCGUCGACCGGGUCCGAGGAUUUGUCGACCAGGGGUUGAAAUAGUCGACCAGGUCCGAGACUUCAUCGACCGGGUCCGAGGAAUCGUCGAC